CACGUAGGCACCAAGCGUUGUCCGGAUUUAUUGGGCGUAAAGAGCUCGUAGGCGGUUCGGUUAGUCGGGUGUGAAAACUUUGGGCUCAACCCAAAGCGUGCACUCGAUACUGCCGUGACUAGAGUUCGGUAGGGGAGUGGGAAGUUCCUAGUGUAGCGGUGAAAUGCGCAGAUAUUAGGAGGAACACCGGUGGCGAAGGCGCCACUCUGGGCCGAAACUGACGCUGAGGAGCGAAAGCGUGGGUAGCAAACAGG
rnacentral:rRNA from 1 species